CGGCACUUGCACAUGGGUUAGUCGAUCCUA
rnacentral:ncRNA from 2 species